AGGCUUGUAGCUCAGGUGGUUAGAGCGCACCCCUGAUAAGGGUGAGGUCGGUGGUUCAAGUUCACUCAGGCCUACCA
rnacentral:tRNA from 1 species